AAGUCACUGCUAGCCUAUACUUAAUCGAUGAAAUAUGCUUUAGUCCAAAUUAAGUUUUACCUUUCUCAGUCCAUUAAUAUACAUCAAUGACCCGUUAAAUGGAAUAAUAGGUUUUAGUCCAAAUUAAGUUCUACCUUUCACAGUCCAUUAACACACACCCUUGACCCAUUAAAGUAAUACCGAAUUAAGUAAAGUAGUAGAACUAUGAAAUUGUUUAGUAGAACUAUGAAAUCUGUUAUUCUUUCAGCAGAAGUUCACUAGAAAGUGUCAUUUUUGUUGGAUGAUUAGUAGUUCACUUUGUUUAUUGCUUUUACUUUGUCCAAUACCAUAUAGAUGGUUCAAUGGAAAGCUUUUCGGUAGAUGACAUGGAGAUUGCCUGCAGCCCAUGCUACUGAAUUCAACUUCCAUAAACACUGAUAUGUACUUUAUAGAAGCAAUGAAUUACAACCUGAUGGUCAUCUUUAUCUCUUUCCUUCAAGUUCUUUUGUUGUUCAGCAAUGGACCAUAGCAGCACACAUCUCUUUGGCAGUUGGCAGAGUUUCAAUUACGGCAAUUGGGCCAUGGAUGCAUACCUUUGUGCUUUACAUCUGGUAGUAGGAAUCGCAGCCGCUGCAGAUCCCUUAUUCAAUGCAUUUGCUACUGCUGCAUUUUUGAAGUUCGGGCCUCAUGUCUUGGUAUCCCGUGUUGUUGUGCUUGCAAUAUAAACUGAGGUAGUGUUUGUUUUGAUUUUAUACUGAUGAAGAAUUUGACCAAGAGUUUGUACACAUACUUCGUCGACAGAGCAUAGUGUUUUCCAGAGGAACAUACUUCGUCGACAGAGCUACAUAGUGUUUUCCAGAGGAAGUUUUGAUUUUAUACGGAUGAAGAAUUUGACCAAGAGUUUGUACACAUACUUCGUCGACAGAGCAUAGUGUUUUCUAGAGGAAGUUCGAGAUAUCCAGGAGUUACUCUACAAAAAUGCUAUUAGUUAUUAUCUUUCUAGUACUUGUAUGCUUUUAGUUAUUUGCAAAACUUGUAGGCUUUAAGUUAUUUGCAAGACUUGUAUGCAUUAAAUAAUUUCUGUAGCUCAUGGAUUUUGAUGGUGCUUGUGGUUUUAAGACUGAUUGAUUGUAAUAUUCAAAUUUGAUGGGAAAUGCAAUAUUUAAA